rnacentral:tRNA from 1 species
GGCCGACCGGGACGCGGUGUCGGUCGGCGUACUCGGGGUAGGCCUGGCUGAACCGCAUGACGAAGUACGGGCGUUCGGGGCGCGGGCCGACCA